GACCCAUGGCAUGGGCCGAUCGCAACCGCGGUUCUGCCGCGAACAGCCAGGCAUAGCCAGGAAUGGCCCAUAGUUCGUUGCUGUGGUCGGCCA
rnacentral:tRNA from 1 species